CGGGACUUUGGGGGCGAGAUGAGUAUUGAUCUCUAUCCAACUGGCCCGCAAAGUCCCGCU
rnacentral:pre_miRNA from 1 species